rnacentral:rRNA from 1 species
CGGAGGGUGCAAGCGUUAUCCGGAUUCACUGGGUUUAAAGGGUGCGUAGGUGGAUUGGUAAGUCAGUGGUGAAAUCUCCAGGCUUAACUUGGAAACCGCCAUUGAUACUAUCAAUCUUGAAUACCGUGGAGAUGAGCGGAAUAUGUCAUGUAGCGGUGAAAUGCUUAGAUAUGACAUAGAACACCAAUUGCGAAGGCAGCUCGUUACACGAAUAUUGACACUGAUGCACGAAAGCGUGGGGAUCAAACAGGAUUAGAUACCCUGGUAGUCCACGCCCUAAACGAUGGAUACUCGACAUUUGCGAUAAACUGCAAGUGUCUGAGCGAAAGCAUUAAGUAUCCCACCUGGGAAGUACGACCGCGAGGUUG